GUAACCCCUGACUGCAGCUCGCAGAUCGAGGAGGGGCUUACAUUUUCCCUAAAUGUGGGUUUGCUUAAACGUUUAAGCAGGAAGCGGGAGAACGUAGUUGCGUCUGAGUCCAUAAUACUGCGCGCUUUUCUGCCUAGAGGUAAGUUGCCGCUCUCUGUUCGUGUACAUUAUAAACUAAUGUAUGGACAGACCAACAAGUUGAUCAUUAAAAUAUUCAUGCAAGUAACAUGCAUAGGCCUCAUGUUUAUGUCAUGAGGUCGUUUGAAUAAUAGCAUUUAGGCAGUGUUUUUCAGCUUUUUUAACCCUUUCGUGCAUGGCGUCAACAUAUGAAGACGAUUAAAUAAACUCCAAUAUUUUGGGCUUAUGGUAAUGUUCUCUAAACCACAUUGGUAAAAUAUGUUUCGUGAUGUUUCAGAUUUAAAUUUUGCUUUUCCCCUCCAGAUUUGGCUGUUUAUCUACAUCCUAUCACAGCUCGCACACGCACACUGCACCACGACAUUGCACCACGUAACACACACAUUACAAAACCAACAGUUCUUUUAAGAACUCCUGUCUGUCUGUCUGUCUGUCUGUCUGUCUGUCUGUCUGUCUGUCCGUCCGUGUCCUGAUUUUCUCUGGUCAGGUAGGUUCACUGCAAUGCUUAAGGUUUAUAAAAACAGUAACUAAUGCGCUAUAUUUGUGUGUGUUUCUACCCUCGAGUAUGUCUGAGAGAAAAAAAAGAAGGUAAUCAAUGAAUCAUUCACUUGAAUUAGAGUAUGAUAAGGCAUAAUAACAGGAUAUCAACAUGUAAUGCAUGGCCUUACUCUUUGCAUAGUGCAUUACAUUUUGAUAUUGGAAUUCUGCGUUGACAAUGAUCAAAAUAAAUGUAAAGAAAUACAUUCAUUUAUCCAUUCUUUGUGUCCGUUUGUUACCCACAGCUACUUUGAUUGACCUUGUGUUGCCUUCGUACAUGUGCGCGCGUGUGUGUGUGUGUGUGUGUAUGUGCGUGACAGGUGUCCCACCGCGGUACCCCCCGCUACAUGGAGCCCAACAUCCUGGGCUGUAGGCCUCUCAUGCUCUCCAAGCUCAGGCUGAUAUACUUCCUCUUCCUGAGGCUAUCCCUGAAGACGUCAAUGUGGUAAAAAAGAUCAAAAUACACAUUAGUAUUCUUUUGGAUGGUGAUACACCAAACAUUAAUAACAUCACCAACAGUGAACUGUUCCACUGUCCCUUCUGUAAAUACGUGGGUGCAAAAUAUAAGGUUGACAACCAUGUAAAAGGCCAUUCGUCAGUGAAACACAAAGAGUUCACAAUAAUCAAGUGUGGAUUAAGUUGUCGGACGGCUACACAUUUCCAUUGUUGCUAUUGUGCAGCGACACUUAGAAAUCGAUUGCAAUUGGUAAGGCACCUACAAAUACACCAGGAGGAGGUGCAAGCUGCAGCCCCUUCAUAGCACUUUGUGGCCUCCGCUCAGCUCCCUGUGGCCCCCACUCAGCUCCCUGUGGCCCCCACUCAGCUCCCUGUGGCCCCCUCUCAGCUCCCUGUGGCCCCCACUCAGCUCCCAUUGGCUCCUGCAGAAUGUUCCACGGCCACUAAAGCAUCAAGAAAACAUGCUGCAAAUUAGAGAUGGUGGUGUCUCGCUCUCCUGCAGAACUUCCCUUAGCCGUCUGAAGAAGACAGAUUGCAGGACAGAAAACGGCGACGAGUGCAAGGAGGGCUACAGACGCUGGGAAAUUGACAGAACUGGAAACAGGGAACAGGGUUGCUUGUUAUGGGCCAGAAAAAUACCCUGAUACUUGCCAUUGUUAAACAUUUAUGGAAGCUUAAGGAAUUAUUUGGUUAGGCUAAAAACAUUUUUUUUUUUUUUUUUU